GCAGAGCGGACGGUCGCGGCUGCAGAUCCCGAAAGGGUGCAGGUGAGGAAAGUCCGGGCUUCACAGGGCAGGAUGCCGGAUAACGUCCGGUGGAGGUGACUCCCAGGCCAGUGCAACAGAGAUAUACCGCGAAAGCAGACGCUCUUCGGAGCGCUGCCCGUAAGGGUGGAAAGGCAGUGUAAGAGACUACCGUCUUCGUGGUAACACGGAGAGCCAUGUAAACCCCAUCCGAAGCAAGACCGAAAAGAGAGCUAUGGGCCGGCCCGGUCCGCUCUCAGGUGGGUCGCUUGAGGCCGCCGGCGACGGCGGUCCUAGACAGAUGACCGUCUAAGACAUAACCCGGCUUACAGCUCUGCUUAU
rnacentral:RNase_P_RNA from 1 species